GACGGAGGGUGCAAACGUUGUUCGGAAUCACUGGGCGUAAAGGGCGCGUAGGCGGACUUGUAAGUCGGGAGUGAAAGCCCCCGGCUCAACUGGGGAGGGUCAUUCGAUACUGAUCGACUCGAAGGCAGGAGAGGGAAGUGGAAUUCCCGGUGUAGUGGUGAAAUGCGUAGAUAUCGGGAGGAACACCAGUGGCGAAGGCGACUUCCUGGCCUGUUCUUGACGCUGAGGCGCGAAAGCUAGGGGAGCAAACGGG
rnacentral:rRNA from 1 species